CGCAAAUCUCAACAAUCCAGCAAGUCUCAGCUCAGAGCCUUCCUGUUUUCACUACCUUCUAACUGACACUGACCAAAAAAGGGGAAAUUACCCAGGAGGUG